ACAUCUACCCCCAGACCUGCUGGUCUGCUCCACUGUCGCACCUGCAGGAUGGGAGGGAGGCCUCGGGUGGAGGGUCUUGGCCACUCACAUAGGGACCAUGAGUGUUCAGGGUUUGGGGAUAUUUGGGUCCUGGGAGACCUGUCUUUCCUGGCCCUGGGGCCUUGGUGUCCUCCUGGAAGACUUCAAAACAGCAAAACUGAGUGUAGUUAUGUAAGCAAAAUCCAAUAGGAUUCGACAAAUGCCCAUCGACUCCCUGUUAAUAUCACGAGCCUCUGAAAGUCCUCAGAGUUCUUGGCAGGAACGUCAUAAAUGCUUGUCUUUCCCACCACCGACUGUGUGCCUGGACUUGUCAGAUGCCUCGUGGCUGCAUGUGCAUUGGCGGGAUGGUCACUUACCCAGCACGUCCAGGGCACUGUCUCGGGGGUAGGGGUGGGGCGGUCUCGGGAGGCAUCUGUGAAUGAGAAACAGCCCCAGGAGUCGUCAGUCCCGAGGAAGAAAGAUAUUUGAAGCAAUGCUCUCAAGAGAAGGUGCUGCGUUGCUGCGUCUUGGCUGUCAGUGCGCAAAGUGUGUUGAAAGAAACAAAAUCAUGGUAACGCGUAUUUGAUAAGCAACUGCUCUGUGUUGGACACUAGUUUUAGGACUUUACAUACCUCUGUGCCUAACUUUACACAACUCUAGGGGGUCUAGGAGUCAGUAGCCGCAAUUUCAGUUGAGGACAUUGAUGCCCCGAAUUGCCUAUCCAGGUGCAGAGUGAGAAUCUGGGAGGCCUGGCUUCAGACCUUUCUGGAAAUGCAUCCUGCCAGUACCAGAAAAGUCUGAUGGGGUGGAGGGGAGGGGCCUGGGAGGUCAGGGUCUGGGAUGAAGGGUCAGGAAAAUUCAGGCGGCCUUGGCUUUUCUUCAUUCAAGUGCCCGGGGGAGAAGUGGUCCCUCUGGUCCGUAGGAAGGAUGCUGGAUGGGAGCCCAGGAUGACUCUGAGAUGGGAGCGCAGACUGAGCCUGAAUUGGGAUGGGUGGAGUUGGAUGCUGGUGGGGUAGCAAGGGAGGGUCCAGGGGGCUCUUGGAGAGUCAGGAAAGUCAGGCCAGUUCGCUGGGUGACCUUCCCCCAUGACCUCUUCUCGGCAGUGGCUGCUCAGCCUCCCCGUUUGGCCUCUGCCCCCAGGGUCCUCCUUCUAGCUCUGGACCCAAUGCACACCUCCUCCCAGAGAGCCCUUGGCUCCUCACACUCCGCGGGUCCUAAGUGACCCGUUGACCCCCCUUGGACCUGGUUCUCCUCUUGGAUUCCCAUCCUUGAUGUCCCCCUCAGCCACACAUUGUUGCUGAAGCCAGAAACCGGGACGUCCUACUGGACCGGCCUCUUCCUCACACCCGAGGCCAGCUCGCUAACAGCACUCUGGCUGUCCCUCCCCAUGAGUCCUCGAAUCUCCUGGCCAGCCCCCCUCCUGGGAGUGCUUGUCCUUCCCUCUCCCGGGCUGUGCAGUGACCCACGUCGCUUCUGACCUCCAACACUCUGUCUACAUGCUGGCCAGCGUGACCCUCCUACAGAUUGAACUGAUCAAACUCCCCCUUUAAAAAUGCACAGGAGUUCCGGUUGUGGCUCAGCAGUAAACAGAUGCGACUAGUAUCCAUGAGGAUAUGGGUUCGAUCCCUGGUCUUGCUUAGUGGGUUAAGGAUCCAGCAUUGCCAUGAGCUGUGGUGUAGGUUGCAGGUGCGGCUCGGAUCCUGUGUUGCUGUGGCUGUGGUGAGGGCUGGCGGCUGCAGCUCUGAUUCAGCCCCUAGCCUGGGAACUUCCAUGGGGCAGGUGCAGCCCUAAAAAGGACCAAAAAAAAAAUGCUCAAAAGGGGACACUUCCAACCUGCGCGCCCCACCCCCCACUCCCACCCCGGGCUGCAAGGACUGGCCCCUCCCCCUCUGCCUCACCUCCUCUCAUGCUCCCCUGCUCUCCUCCCUUCCAGCCUCCCUCUCCCUUAGUUGCAUAAACACCACAUUGGCCUCCCGCNCCCCCCCACCCCGCCUCUAGACUCUUUAUUCUCUUGAACAGUUUUCUCUCUGCUUAACCCGACCUCUCCCCAUUCUUCUUACCUCCCUACGUAGCCAGGGGAAUCACAGUCCUCCUUGCUCAGACUCCUUGAGCCCCAUGGAGCAUGUGGCCCUCAUCCCAGCUGAAACCUUACACUUAUUAGUGAAAUAAAAUUAUUGGGCAAGAAUCCCUCCCUAUCCCAGUCCAUAGCAAAUGGCAGGUUCGAGACAGGUGCUCAGCUGAUGUUAACUAAGUGAAUGAAUGAAUGAAUGAAGAUAGCAAGCCGGGGACAGUCAACCUUCUUUCCCAUUUGGAGACUGUUCUUGCUUGGUUGAGGACAGAGCCCCUCCCUUGCUGAAAUGUCCGGGACAGUGAGAACGCUUCUGCCGAAAUAUUUCCUUUCCUCCAGCUGCUGACUUGGUGGGACUGGAAGGACCCCUGGGCAGAAUUUGAGGACACCCCGAGCUGUGGCUCAGUCAAUACGAGACUCUAUAGCAAUAAAUUUCCUACUAGGGAUUAGCUUAUUUGCUUGCAAUUAACGAUGGCUGAGGUCAGGCUGAUCACAGCCAGCGACCAGAUCUGAUUCAUUGAUCAAACCGUCCCACUGACCAGGGUGUCUAGAAAGCACCUGCCCUGUCACGGAUAAUGCUUCCCCUGCCCAUGCAGUGAAGGUUGACGUUUAACAAGCAGUGGUUGCUUGGCCGAUUUUUGACUGAAUUUGGCUUUCCAAAGCAGUGAGAAAGGGAGCCAAAUAAGAACAAGAAUUCCUUGCAAUUGAAAGAAAUGGAAAAGAAAUUCUAGAGGCCGCCAGCCUAGGAUGCUGGACACAGAAUUUGGCUAUCACGUUUCAGUGGCUUAUAGGGUUGUGGAGGAGUGAUGUGUGUAUGUUUUAAACCAAACCUAAAUUUGGGGUUUGGAAUAUUUGGCAGGAUCUUGAGAAUAGAUGGCAUUUGUACCAGCUUUCCCGGCUGUUUUUCUUGCCUCUGAGGUUAACUGAUGUUCCCACCACCCAAAGGACCUGCCUCCUUUGCGUGGGCAGCGGAGUUGCUGGAGCUGCGAGCAGGAGAGAAGACAGUGGAUCUCCAGGGCCAGGAGGCUGGGCCAAGUGACCCGAGACCCAAGGGAGCCUUGGGAGUAGCUGCCUCCACUCUGUGGCCCAAGAUUUUGCAACUGCAGGGCCAGCUUGGGUCCACAGUGCUAGGGCUGCUGCUGGCUUUAUUCUUGGGUUACACUGGGAGGCAAUGUCCCAGAGUUUCAUGGGAAGUGGCGCCAGCUGAGGACACAGCCAGCAAUGGGCUUGAGGAUGGAAGAGAGAGACUUUCUGUGAACAGAGGUCCUGGGUGGGGCCGAGUGGUCAGCUGACACUAAGAUGGCAUCAAAACAUAUUGAAAGAAUUAGGAGUUCCCAUUGUGGCUCAGCAGGUUAAGAACCCACCUAGUAUCCACAAGGAUAACAGGUUCAAUCCCUGGCCUCUCUCAGUGGGUUGAGGAUCCAGCAUUGCCGUGAGUUGUGGUUUAGGUCACAGAUGUGGCUUCAAUAUGGCAUUGCUAUGGCUGUGGUGUAGGCCAGCAGCUGCAGCUCUCAUUCCACCCCUAGCCUGGGAACUUCCAUAUGCCACGGGUGCGUCCCUAAAAAGAAAAAAAAAAA
rnacentral:lncRNA from 1 species